GACGAACGCUGGCGGCGUGCUUAACACAUGCAAGUCGAACGAUGAAGCCGGAGCUUGCUCUGGUGAAUUAGUGGCGGACGGGUGAGUAACACGUGAGUAACCUGCCCUUGACUCUGGGAUAACUGCGGGAAACUGUAGCUAAUACCGGAUACGACCCUCGGAGGCAUCUCCUGGGGGUGGAAAGAAUUUCGGUCAAGGAUGGACUCGCGGCCUAUCAGCUAGUUGGUGAGGUAAAGGCUCACCAAGGCGACGACGGGUAGCCGGCCUGAGAGGGUGACCGGCCACACUGGGACUGAGACACGGCCCAGACUCCUACGGGAGGCAGCAGUGGGGAAUAUUGCACAAUGGGCGCAAGCCUGAUGCAGCAACGCCGCGUGAGGGAUGACGGCCUUCGGGUUGUAAACCUCUUUUAGCAGGGAAGAAGCGAAAGUGACGGUACCUGCAGAAGAAGCACCGGCUAACUACGUGCCAGCAGCCGCAGUAA
rnacentral:rRNA from 1 species